GAGGGGCUCGCGGCCUAUCAGCUAGUUGGCGGGGUAACGGCCCACCAAGGCUAUGACGGGUAGCUGGUCUGAGAGGACGACCAGCCACACGGGGACUGAGACACGGCCCCGACUCCUACGGGAGGCAGCAGUGGGGAAUUUUCCGCAAUGGGCGAAAGCCUGACGGAGUGACGCCGCGUGUGGGACGAAGGCCUUCGGGUCGUAAACCACUGUCAGUGGGAAAGAUGGGUGUCGGCGCUAAUACCGCCGGCAUCUGACGGUACCUGCAGAGGAAGCCCCGGCCAACUCUGUGCCAGCAGCCGCGGUAAGACAGAGGGGGCAAGCGUUGCUCGGAAUUACUGGGCGUAAAGGGCGCGUAGGCGGGAUGGCAAGUCGGCCGUGAAAUCCCUCGGCUCAACUGAGGAAUGUCGAUCGAUACUGCUGUUCUUGAGGAUUGCAGAGGAGACUGGAAUUCCCGGUGUAGCGGUGAAAUGUGUAGAGAUCGGGAGG
rnacentral:rRNA from 1 species